rnacentral:rRNA from 1 species
GCUGAAAGCAUCUAAGCACGAAACUUGCCCCGAGAUGAGUUCUCCCUGAGACUUAGAGUCUCCUGAAGGAACGUUGAAGACGACGACGUUGAUAGGCCGGGUGUGUAAGCGCAGCGAUGCGUUGAGCUAACCGGUACUAAUGAACCGUGAGGCUUAACCUUAC